UACGAAGGGGGCUGGCGUUGUUCGGAAUUACUGGGCGUAAAGCGCGCGCAGGCGGUCUUCCAAGUCAGUGGUGAAAGCCCGGAGCUCAACUCCGGAACUGCCAUUGAAACUGUAAGACUUGAGGAUGAGAGAGGUGAGUGGAAUUCCCAGUGUAGAGGUGAAAUUCGUAGAUAUUGGGAAGAACACCGGUGGCGAAGGCGGCUCACUGGCUCAUUACUGACGCUCAGGCGCGACAGCGUGGGGAUCAAACAGG
rnacentral:rRNA from 1 species